AAGGUAAUGGUUCCGAAAGUGUUAAUGUUGCAUGACCUUCCCUCAGCUGGAUGAUGUCACACUGUCUGUGAAGAGUGUUUGAUGGGGUCGGGAUGAAGAUGGAUGAGAUUCACAAAAUGGCUCACAAUAGCUGUAACAAUGCAGCUAUUUAACAUUAAUGUUACAGGGAGCUGUCACACCUCACUAUCUCUUCAACACUCGCCCUCAGCUCCACGUUUGACACCAUGUUACACACUCAAUCCAGUCACUUGCUUGUGUUCUGGACCAUUUUGGAAAAUGGUCGCAAGAAGGAUGCCCCAGACAGUGUCCAUGGCAGAGUUCACAUCGGUAUGAAAAGCCAGACGUAUAAUGCUCUUCAACACUCGCCCUCAGCUCCACGUCUGACACCAUGUUACACACUCAAUCCAGUCACUUGCUUGUGUUCUGGACCAUUUUGGAAAAUGGUCGCAAGAAGGAUGCCCCAGACAGUGUCCAUGGCAGAGUUCACAUGGGUAUGAAAAGCCAGGUGUAUGUGAAUACAGUCGUCUUUUUCUGUCCCAAACAGUAGGAAGAAAGGUUUCGCAGUGGACACAGAUCAAUGAAGGUAUAAAAUAAUGGAGGAGCCUCAUUCAUAGAUCUGUAGAAUCCCUACAGUGUGUAAACAGGCCCAUUGGCCCAACAAGCCCGCAACAACCCUAACAUUUCAGUGGGAAUUGGAUGAGUACCUUUUGGUGUAAAAUGCACUUGGCGAUAGAGCAAUGCAGUGGUGUCUGCCUGUGGAACACUCCCCCUGAGGCAGCACGGCCACACAGCCCCCAGCCCUGAAGAAUGGACACCAGACUCAGAACAUGAACUCUGCUUUCUCUCCACAGAUGCUGCCAGACUUAUUGACUUUCCCCAGCUGCUUCUGUUUACAAUUUCAAUCUUCAGACCAGUUUCGAAUCAUCUCCUUCCAUGGUGUCCAUUUUAAA